CCCUGCCGGGUGCCGUGCAGCAGCUGGUGUUGUGAAUCAGGCCGUCACCAGUCGGAGAACGGCUACUUCACAACACCAGGGUGGCACUGCACCACA